rnacentral:tRNA from 1 species
GGCUCCGUAGCUCAACGGCAGAGCAGUUGACUCUUAAUCAAUUGGUUGGGGGUUCAAAUCCCUCCGGAGUCACCA